CCGGCGCGAAGGACCUGCGGAUCGGGGUGGACAGAGGCAUUGUUUAUAUUCUCUUGCUUGAUGCCCAAAACAAACACAGAGGAAGAAAAUCCAGCUGUUUCCAGAGCGAUGCAAUCAGGAGUCGGGUGUUGGAAAAGCGCCAGUUGUCACGAGAUUUGUAACCCAGGCUGAAAUGUCCUGUGCUUGCAUUUUGACCUUUGUCUAGCACCCACGGCUGGCCUGCCUUCUCUGCCUCAGCUCCUCCUGACUGGCGUCCUUGCGUUUGGUUCUGUGCUGGGAUUGAUUCUGAGACAACAUAAACACAGCGUGACUCAUGGAUUUGAAGAAGGGUGAAGAACGUGAAGUCAUCAAGGUUAGGAGAAGCAAUGCCAGCGAUGAACACUGGACUUCUAAUCACGUUCAAGGAGAGAUGAUUCCAUUCAUUUUAUAAGGUUCGUCCAGAAGUGUGGUUGCUGGAUUCUUGAAAAUACAGACGUCAAACAAUU